GCUCUAUAGGUCUCAAGGAUUUAAGAUCAAAACUCAGCAUCAUCCGUCAAGAACCAACACUUUUCAAGGGGAGCGAUCGAACGAAUUUGGACCCUUUAGGUCUCUAUUCUGAUGAUGAGAUAUGGAAGGCUCUAGAGAAAUGCCAGCUUAAGGCUACAAUUAGUACACUGCCAAACCUAUUAGACUCCUCUGUCAGUGAUGAAGGCGAAAACUGGAGUAUGGGGCAACG